AACGAACGCUGGCGGCAUGCCUAACACAUGCAAGUCGAACGAUCCCUUCGGGGAUAGUGGCGCACGGGUGCGUAACGCGUGGGAACCUGCCCUUAGGUUCGGAAUAACUCAGAGAAAUUUGAGCUAAUACCGGAUAAUGUCUUCGGACCAAAGAUUUAUCGCCUUUGGAUGGGCCCGCGUUGGAUUAGCUAGUUGGUGGGGUAAAGGCCUACCAAGGCGACGAUCCAUAGCUGGUCUGAGAGGAUGAUCAGCCACACUGGGACUGAGACACGGCCCAGACUCCUAGGGGAGGAGGGAGGGGGAAAUAUUGAAAAGGGGGAGAAAGCAUGAACAAGAAAUGCGGGGGGAGAAAGAAAGGCCUAGGGGUUAAAAAGUUCUUUUACCGGGGAAGAAAAGGAAAGGACGGGAAAAAAAAGCCCCGGCAAACCCAGGG
rnacentral:rRNA from 1 species